rnacentral:rRNA from 2 species
UGGGGAAUAUUGCACAAUGGGGGAAACCCUGAUGCAGCGACGCCGCGUGAGCGAAGAAGGUUUUCGAAUCGUAAAGCUCUGUCCUAUGGGAAGAUAAUGACGGUACCAUAGGAGGAAGCCCCGGCUAACUACGUGCCAGCAGCCGCGGUAAUACGUAGGGGGCGAGCGUUGUCCGGAAUUACUGGGCGUAAAGGGUUCGCAGGCGGCAUGGCAAGUCCGAUGUAAAAGGCGAAGGCUCAACCUUCGUAAGCAUCGGAAACUGUCAAGCUUGAGUGAAGGAGAGGCAAGUGGAAUUCCUAGUGUAGCGGUGGAAUGCGUAGAUAUUAGGAGGAAUACCGGUGGCGAAGGCGACUUGCUGGACUUCAACUGACGCUGAGGAACGAAAGCGUGGGUAGCAAACAGG